rnacentral:lncRNA from 1 species
UUUUUUUAAUUGAAGCGAGCACGAGAUUUUAGGAGGCGUUCGAAUUCAAUAUGGAGGCUGUGCUGACGAAAAGGGGCGAAACUUGCAGAUGGCACUACUGAAGGUUUUCUACAUAUCAAACUAAGAAUCGAUAAAGCUCUAAAUUGUUACUGUGGAAUUAAAUCAAAUAUCUUGUAUGAUCGGUCCCAACAUAAGCAUAACCUUUUCUCCUUUUAUCAUUUCAACAAAUUGGUUCUGGAAGAAAAAUGUGUGAGGCGUUUAUCCCAACCUAAAAUCCAUACGCCACAACCUUCAUGCUGGCUUUCCAGAUCAGACAACAUUUCAUCUUUCCAUGUGCUCUCUUCCUAAAUUCUAGCAAACAAGUGCGCGUAAGCGUAUUACCAAGAAAGUUGCCGACUCGAGUCAGUUGCAUCGUACCGAGACGUUUUCAUCUUUCGGUAGCUCAUCUAAAUUUUAUUUUCACGAUCAACCUGCCAGUUUUUGUGGUACAUAGAUACAUUUAGUAACUCAAAAUUCCUUUGUCUUGUAAAGAAAGAGCUAAAGCUUUCCUUCUCGCCCAUGGGAGAUUUGAGACGGUUUGUCGGGUUUUGUGAAAUAGAAACCGGCUCAAAACCGACAGUCUGCCUUGAUAAUUUCACGCUUAUUUGCCUUUGUCUUUGACUUGUUUUUGCGUGCGUUCAUUUUUAAAAAUUUUAUCUCUACGCACCUGCAGGCAUAUUGACGGUAUAAAAACCGCUUGAUAAUGCAAACAAUGCAAACACUUGGCAGUUAAACAUCAAAGGAGUCAGAUCAACACAAAAUGAAGCUUGUCUUUUUGUUGUUUGCAUUGUUCGUUUUGGUCGCAAUGGUCUCAGCGGUGCCACAUGAUGGUAAAAAGGGCGAAUCUCGUUCCGUGGGUAAGUCCCACGCCCACGUGAAGGAGUCCCAUGGUCACGCGAAGGAAUCCCAUCAUAAGGCUCACAAGGCUAAAGCUCACGUUCCAAAACAUAACGCUCCUAAACAUCAUGCUCUUAAAGCUCACAAAGCCAAAGACAUCAAAUCAAAGGCACACAAAGGUCACUGAUUCCAACACUUGCCAUCCGUUAAUUUUCAGUGGCUUUUAAAUAAUCGGAAAGAAAAUAAAUAAAAUUAGUCAUCCCACUACCAUUUUGAUUAAACUACUGCCCUUAUAUAUCCAACUGUCUCUUGCUUUUCACUGUUAUUUCCCUUUUCACUAUCAAUAUACAAUUGCUACUUGACUUAAUGUUUGCUGUAAAACCUAUUCUCGUACAGUGGCUUUUGCUAAUCUAUGAAUUUCUUGUCAGCAAACUUUAUUUACGGUUAACUGUCAUUGAAAAUAUAAAUAUCUGAAGACUG